AUUGAACGCUGGCGGCAUGCUUUACACAUGCAAGUCGAACGGUAGAGGGGCAACCCUCGAGAGUGGCGAACGGGUGAGUAAUGCAUCGGAACGUGCCCUGUAGUGGGGGAUAGCCCGGCGAAAGCCGGAUUAAUACCGCAUACGCCCUGAGGGGGAAAGCGGGGGAUCGUAAGACCUCGCGUUAUACGAGCGGCCGAUGUCGGAUUAGCUAGUUGGUGGGGUAAAGGCCCACCAAGGCGACGAUCCGUAGCGGGUCUGAGAGGAUGAUCCGCCACACUGGGACUGAGACACGGCCCAGACUCCUACGGGAGGCAGCAGUGGGGAAUUUUGGACAAUGGGGGGCAACCCUGAUCCAGCCAUGCCGCGUGCGGG
rnacentral:rRNA from 1 species